rnacentral:rRNA from 1 species
AACGAACGCUGGCGGCAUGCCUAACACAUGCAAGUCGAACGAGACCUUCGGGUCUAGUGGCGCACGGGUGCGUAACGCGUGGGAACCUGCCCUUAGGUUCGGAAUAACUCCCCGAAAGGGGUGCUAAUACCGGAUAAUGUCUUCGGACCAAAGAUUUAUCGCCUUUGGAUGGGCCCGCGUUGGAUUAGCUAGUUGGUAGGGUAAAAGCCUACCAAGGCGACGAUCCAUAGCUGGUCUGCGAGGAUGAUCAGCCACACUGGGACUGAGACACGGCCCAGACUCCUACGGGAGGCAGCAGUGGGGAAUAUUGGACAAUGGGCGAAAGCCUGAUCCAGCAAUGCCGCGUGAGUGAUGAAGGCCUUAGGGUUGUAAAGCUCUUUUACCCGGGAUGAUAAUGACAGUACCGGGAGAAUAAGCUCCGGCUAACUCCGUG